GACGAACGCUGGCGGCGGGCCUAAUACAUGCAAGUAGAACGGGGUGGCGAACGGGUGAGUAACGCGUAGGUAAGUGCCGAUUAGAGGGGGAUAACUAGUGGAAACGAUAGCUAAUACCGCAUAAUAGUAGCUGGACCUGCGUUGUAUUAGCUAGUAGGUAGGGUAAUGGCCUACCUAGGCGACGAUACAUAGCCGACCUGAGAGGGGGAUCGGCCGCACCUGUAACUGGACAAGGCCCAGACCCCGUCGGGGGGGAGCAGUAGGGAAACUUCGGGAAUGGGGGGAACCCUGACCGCGCAACGGCGCGUGAGAGAAGAAGGUCUUCGGAUCGUAAAGCUUUGUUGUGAAGGAAGCGGUACUUAACCAGAAAGGGACGGCUAACUACGUGCCAGCAGCCGCGGUAAUUC
rnacentral:rRNA from 1 species